AUUCACGUCCCGUGUGUGGUUACCAGCCCCCAAUGACCCCGUGGACCUCGGUCACAACCAAUAUCCCCACUGUGGAUGAAUGGAUGCAACGCAGCGAGAAGUAUGGGAGGAGAAGCACCAGCGGAUUGAACACACACUUCGUCGAUAUAAGGAACUAGCGAAUAGGCAUAGAGGAAAUACUCCUGCAUAUCAGCCAGGAGACUGGGUCCUUUGGAUGAGGUGUCUCCUGACGACACUCCAC